UGAUUUGCAUGUACCCCCCAAACCAGCCCAGCUGCAUGGAUUUUAUAAACCUGGCCUUGAUAGUGAGGACUGAGCAGCUUUAGACAGGCAGGUGAGGAAGGAAGAUGGAGUCACAGACACAGGUCCUUAUGUCCCUGCUGCUCUGCAUAUCUGGUGCCUGUGCAGAUAUCUUGAUGGCCCAGUCUCCAUCCUCCCUGGCUGUGUCAGCAGGAGAAAAGGUCACCAUCAGCUGCCAGUCCAGUCAGAGCCUUUUAUCUGGCAGCACAAACUACUUGAGCUGGUAUCAGCAGAAACCAGGGCAGGCUCCUAAACUGCUGAUCUAUUAUGCAUCCAAUCGAGGCACUGGGGUCCCUGAUCGCUUCACAGGCUUUGGGUCUGGGACAGAUUUCACUCUCACCAUCAGCAGUGUCCAGGAUGAUGACAUGGGAGAUUAUUUCUGUCAGCAGGGUCGUAGCUAUCCUCCCACAGUGCUUCAGCCUCCAACAAAAACCUCCCCUGAGAGUCUCACCAGCUGCCUGCACCACAUGCAGCCGUGGACCUGCACACUUCUCCUCCUGACUGAGAGCCUGAACACUCAUAAAAUACUCAUGAAAAUAUUUGCAGAGCCCGAAAAAAUAAUGGGUUCAAUGUCACUUAUAUCUUUUAAUAUGAAAAGCUUUUAUAUAAAAGUGCAAAGGAGAAUUUAUCAUUAUAUUCCUUCCAUAAUACAUUACCACAAACUCUGCUGUUUGAAUAUGAGGAACUUAUCUUUUUAUAGUAGUGGAGUCUGGUGUCCAACAGAAGACUCUUUUGUCUGA